rfam:Proteobacteria bacterium ST_bin11 10, whole genome shotgun sequence.
UUCACUAUGUAACUAAUACUCACACUUGUCGACACGGUCGGUGGGGUGCCGAAUGUCUAUUUUAGAUUUUUGGUCACUGAUCGGGGCAGGCGGAGGCGCAAC